AUAAAUUUCUUGGACCCCUGUAGU
rnacentral:miRNA from 1 species